rnacentral:lncRNA from 1 species
GGUCAGCUGGUGUUGGAUUUGGGGGCUGAGGCUGGGCUUGAGUUUGGAUUUAGGAUAUGAGGGCUGGAUUCAGGAACAGGAGGUAAGGUUGGCCCUGAGGGUGAGGGUAAGGUCUAGGACUAACUCCAGAAUUUGGAGCUGGGGUUAGUGUGAGGAAUUUGACCUGAGGUUUCAAGCCAGAUUUGGGUUUGGAACUUGGAGCUGAGAUUGGAAUUGGAUUCAGAAAUGAGGCUGGGGGUUGAGAUUGGGAUCCAAGACUCAGGGUUGGGGCUGAGACUCCGGGUAGGGGCUGGCGUUGGAGCUAGGAGUUCUAGUUAGUGUUUGAAACUACAGCUGGGUGGACGUUAGAUUUGGGGCUGGAGCUAAAGCUAAAAUGGUGCUGGAGCUGAGGGGAUGGGUUAGAGCCCAGGUGGUGGGGCAGACAGACACUUCUCCUGCUGCCCAGGUCUGAGAAUUGUGUUUGAGCCCUAACAGCAGCUGACAGAAGCCCCUCCCUUCCCAGGAAUGCCUUGGACUGCAGAAGGAGCAGUGCCACGUCAGCCAAUCGGCUCAAGCCCUGCCUAGGAAACACCUGUUGAUUCCCUUCCCCCACCCCCUGUUCCAAGGCUCACCUGGGUGCAGGUUAGGCAGGUGAAGCACCUCCCCGGAAACGAAGCUGGAGCGCCCCACCUGCCCGGCUCAGAUCGGAUCCAGCACUUCCAGGCUUCUUGAGCCAGCAGUGACAGCUGAAGCAUGUGAGUUGGAUCCUGAAUGAGGCUUUAUCUCUGGCUCUUCGUCAUCAUCAUCCACUGUCCACCGUGGCACCAGCUCCACCAGCCAGCUGGGAUGGGACAGGCAACUGAGGGAGCCAGAAAGAUGGUGGUGACCCUACCCUGGAUUGUGAGAGGAAUAGGACUCUGGGCCUCUAGCUGCCAAGCAGGUGGUGGGGGCUGCAGGCCAUGACCUGCACCCUCUGACUCCUGGUGCUGCCCUCUGUCCU